AUGAACGCUGGCGGCGUGCCUAAUACCUGCCAGUCGAGCGAACAGACGAGGAGCUUGCUCCUCUGACGUUAGCGGCGGACGGGUGAGUAACACGUGGAUAACCUACCUAUAAGACUGGGAUAACUUCGGGAAACCGGAGCUAAUACCGGAUAAUAUAUUGAACCGCAUGGUUCAAUAGUGAAAGACGGUUUUGCUGUCACUUAUAGAUGGAUCCGCGCCGCAUUAGCUAGUUGGUAAGGUAACGGCUUACCAAGGCAACGAUGCGUAGCCGACCUGAGAGGGUGAUCGGCCACACUGGAACUGAGACACGGUCCAGACUCCUACGGGAGGCAGCAGUAGGGAAUCUUCCGCAAUGGGCGAAAGCCUGACGGAGCAGCGCCGCGUGAGUGAUGAAGGUCUUCGGAUCGUAAAACUCUGUUAUUAGGGAAGAACAAAUGUGUAAGUAACUAUGCACGUCUUGACGGUACCUAAUCAGAAAGCCACGGCUAACUACGUG
rnacentral:rRNA from 1 species